AUGACAGGCUCAGAGACGUCAUGG
rnacentral:sRNA from 1 species